ACUUAUUGAGCGCCCCUCGUAAAACAAUCGAUUCUUGGUUAAGCAGUAUACUUCACCUAAAAUCGAUAUUUCUAAUGGAUUUAAAUGGAGUGUUAACAGUGUCACCAACUUUCAAAAUCGCCACUAAGGCAGGAACUAAUCCCUCUCACUCCCUAGAGCGGCACUUAAUUUGGGAACGCCCCUAAUGUCAAGGACUUGUGAAUAAUCAGCAAAUUUCUCACAUCAGAUUCAUUCAACCCGGUGCAAUGGUUAGGAAAUGGAUCUUGUUACCAUUAUUCCUGGUCACAAUUGUAAAUGAUCCGGUUGCUGUGUGCGUGAAAAAAAACUACGCGGGAGAGGACGGCUCGCCAUUUCGGGCUGCAAUUUCUUAGCCGAUCAAGUACACGUAAAUCGGGUCGGAACCCCAGCAGAUCGCGAGCCCGACAACUCAGUCCCAGUCCAAGUUGGUCCUUCCCAUCCAUCGGAGAUUUUCCAACCUCGCCAGAGCUCCAACGUAUAGCGGACGAAUUUGUCAAAUUCAAUAGAGAAGAGGCCUCUCAUAUCAAAAAUAAUCUUAGUACGUUGGACCUGCUGGGCAUUCGAGAGUACAUGACGUCAGUGGCAACCAACGACCAAUGCUCAAAUAAGUUUGAUUCCCGUCACCAAGGAAGCAAAACAGACUGUGUUGCCGCGUUCAAGAGAUUCAAAUCCAUUCCUUACCAUCUCCGUGGCGCAGCGUGCGCAGAUGCGUAUCUCGCUUGGUGCUGUCGGCUACCGAUGGGCAUUUCGAAAACAUGCGCGUUUUUCGUGAAAACAUCCCCUGGAGAGACCAGAUCGGUACAAGGUCAUUGGAAACAUAUUCAAGAAUGCGCCAACGGGAUUAAUUUGAGCGCAUGGCAGGGCACGGUUUUUUGGCCGAGGUCAACGCGGAUGGAUUUCAGGAGGAGAUAGAGGUUAGUUCCGGUUAGGCUAGGUGUACAGAGGUAUGAGACCCUCCACUCGUGUCGGCUAUUGUAGAACAGUGGUGAGGUGUGAAUGAUCAAUUAGGUAUUGAUAUUUCAUCAUUUGCAGCUGUGGUAAAGAAUCGAUUUUUAAGGCGCUCGCUGCCAAUCAUUGCUUGUAUUUGUAAAAGUGGCAAAUAGCUCAACUCAUGUUUUUAUCUAAAAAAAUAAAUAUCUAAAAAAA